ensembl:lncRNA
GGAUCCGUUGAAAGUUCCUCUGCUGAGCAAAUCCAGAGCACAUUUACAUGUUGUACCACUACAAGCUUUUCUCUGCAGGGUUAAACUGCUAAAUUAGUGAACAAAAGAGCAGAGGGUGCGCGUUACAGAACCGCGCAUAUUGCUUCUUAUCGGCCGGCUGUUUGUUGACACAGCUGUGUAUGCAGGCAGCGGUCACCUGUAGAAAGGGCAGGACACCACAACAUGUAACUCUUAGGCGUGAACGAGUCCCCUAGUGUGAGAUGACGCCUCCCCUCCCGGGCCGACAGCUGAGGGCGCGCUUCAACUGGCACGAGCCAUCUGCCUGGAGACCUGCGGAACAAGGUGUCGCUGCACAAUGAGACGAUCCAAGAGCCACGGCUGACGGUGUGUAUAGGAAGAGGAAUUUAAGGUUUGAUAUUCACGCAGAACGUGUGUGUCCCCAGUGACUUAAUCAGCUGCAGGAGCUAUCAGCCGAGUUUCUGUCCACAGAGUAAAGCGCUUCGCCUCACGCGUCUCUUCAGAGAGGCCAUUUGCUCAGAUUGAGGGCCGGGACACUGAGCUUUCUCUGCUCAUCAUCCCACAGGCGGUUGGAGGGGCCGCGCCUCCGGCGUGUCCGCACGGUUGUGCAGAGGGUUGAAUGCAGGGAGCCCGGCCAGCGUGUUACAUUACGCAUUAUCAGUAUUCAUGAAAUUGAACCCGUGGCGGAUAAACCCCCUCUGUCCUCCUUGAUCCGUUCACAUCUGGGGAGCGCGUUAGGCCAAAGGAGCCUCCACGUACUAAUUGCUUUACGUUUGCAUAGAUGUGCGGCUUCCCGACGGCAGGAGUGUGGUCAGGAAGCCGAAUCCAGUCACAGCUCAGUGUGGGAAAGGUCACGACCUCGGGAGGCGGGUUGCGAACCCCAUCGGUGAGGGAAAACGUCCGGGGCCGUGGGACGAGGACUCUACCGGCUUAUUCCACAUUUCUUUGCUAUUCAUCGAUCCCCCUCAUUAAAUUUCUUUGCCAUGACUUUGAUUGUCAUACCACCGGGUGGGAAAUAAGGAAUAAAGGCAAACAUCACAGACGGAUAUCAGAUCGGCCUGUUCCCUGCGGAGAUGUUACUUGGCUCUGCUCUUGACGAACGAAUAACAGGCCGAGAAUCCUUUUGACUUCGGUGCCCCUGACGGUCCGUCCCGGCUCUUUUGAUUGCGCUCAGCAGGCAGGUGCUAUUCUGCACGGCCUCAGAGGCCUCAAGCCGCUGCAUGUGGUGACUCGGAAAGGUGCGACCUUCAGAUACCUGCGGGCUUUUUGCGAUGUGAGCGCUCGGAGGUGGGCUGCCUGGCUGGUCAACACUUCAAUAGACACCUGCAGCUUUCCCUUUCGGGCCAUCUCAUUCCCUCUUUUUUGGUUCACUGGAGAGUUAUUGCAAGG